GAUGAACGCUGGCGGCGUGCCUAAUACAUGCAAGUCGAGCGAACAGACGAGGAGCUUGCUCCUCUGACGUUAGCGGCGGACGGGUGAGUAACACGUGGAUAACCUACCUAUAAGACUGGGAUAACUUCGGGAAACCGGAGCUAAUACCGGAUAAUAUAUUGAACCGCAUGGUUCAAUAGUGAAAGACGGUUUUGCCGUCACUUAUAGAUGGAUCCGCGCCGCAUUAGCUAGUUGGUAAGGUAACGGCUUACCAAGGCGACGAUGCGUAGCCGACCUGAGAGGGUGAUCGGCCACACUGGAACUGAGACACGGUCCAGACUCCUACGGGAGGCAGCAGUAGGGAAUCUUCCGCAAUGGGCGAAAGCCUGACGGAGCACGCCGCGUGAGUGAUGAAGGUCUUCGGAUCGUAAAACUCUGUUAUUAGGGAAGAACAAAUGUGUAAGUAACUAUGCACGUCUUGACGGUACCUAAUCAGAAAGCCACGGCUAACUACGUG
rnacentral:rRNA from 1 species